GCCGCGAGGGGGCGGGAGGAGGAAGCGGAAGUGUUGGCGGCGACAGUCUACCUGAUCAAUCGGGGAUCCGAGCCGUAGGCGCUUGCUAUGGAGGGCUGCAGCGAGCCGCGACUGGAUGCUAAGUCCGAGGUCACCAACCAGCUUGUAGAUUUUCAGUGGAAGCUGGGUAUGGCCGUGAGCUCGGACAGUUGCAGAUCUCUUAAGUAUCCUUAUGUUGCAGUGUUGCUGAAAGUGGCAGAUCAUUCAGGCCAAGUAAAGAACAAGUCCUUUGAAAUGACAAUUCCACAAUUUCAGGUAUAUGAUGUGAUGUUUUGAUUGAGAAACGACUGAGAUUGAGAAAUGAAUACCACAAUCAAGUUAAUUAACAUAUCCACUACCUUAUAUGGCUACCUUUUUUAUGUAUCUGUGUGAAUUUCUACAGACAGUUCAAGGAAAUUGCUGCAGUUAUUGAAACUGUGUGAAAACUGAUUACUUGGUUGAUAAAUUACUACCAUCAUUCUAAAAUCAUGGACUUCACUUUCUGUAACAAAACUGUAUUAAGAAUCAAAUGAUAUUUAUUGAGUGAAAAUUGUUUUUUUUGUUUUUCCAUUUUUUAAUAAAAAAAUCAGACAAACAAGAAUUAGAUAGUGGUGAUCAAUGCAAAACUUUGUGAAUAUACUAAAAGCUGCUGAAUUGAACACUCUAAAGGGUGAACUCUGUGUUAUGUAAACUAUAUCUCAAUAAAAAUCAAAUGAAUGAUUGA